rnacentral:rRNA from 1 species
GGCCAAGUUAUUAAGGGCACACGGUGGAUGCCUUGGCACCAGGAACCGAUGAAAGACGUGGGAAGCUGCNAUAUGCCUCCGGGAACUGUCAACCGAGCUGUGAUCCGAAG